GUGGGGAAUCUUCCGCAAUGGACGAAAGUCUGACGGAGCAACGCCGCGUGAACGAUGACGGCCUUCGGGUUGUAAAGUUCUGUUAUACGGGACGAAUGGUGCGACGGCCAAUACCCGUCGUAAGUGACGGUACCGUAAGAGAAAGCCACGGCUAACUACGUGCCAGCAGCCGCGGUAAUACGUAGGUGGCAAGCGUUGUCCGGAAUUAUUGGGCGUAAAGGGCGCGCAGGCGGCGUCGUAAGUCGGUCUUAAAAGUGCGGGGCUUAACCCCGUGAGGGGACCGAAACUGCGAUGCUAGAGUAUCGGAGAGGAAAGCGGAAUUCCUAGUGUAGCGGUGAAAUGCGUAGAUAUUAGGAGGAACACCAGUGGCGAAAGCGGCUUUCUGGACGACAACUGACGCUGAGGCGCGAAAGCUAGGGGAGCGAACGGGAUUAGAAACCCUGGUAGUCC
rnacentral:rRNA from 1 species